CUGCUCGCCUGCUUGCCAGGUCCCCACACCUCCUGGCGUGCCCUGGAUCCGGCUGGUGGACGCUUCACAGGGGGAAAAAAUCUCUUUUGGCACGGCCCCAGGUGCUGAGCUGGGCCUGGGCUCUGCCUUAUCCCACAUUUUGGGGUCUCCCAAAAGGAGGGGAUGGCAGGGAAAGAGGGCUCAGCUGCUCUGAGCAGUUACUCCAGGAGUAAACUGUGAGUUGGGAAGGCAAAGCUCCUUUAGCAGGGUCAGAAUCUGGAGUGAAUGGUCCCAAAAAUCUGAAGUUCUGUGGUAAAUCCUCCUCCUGCUGAGCACCCUCAGCUCUCACUGAGUUCAGAAUUCCAGGGGUUUGUGUCCUGAAAUGCAGUCCCAGAGCCUGGGAACCAGGUGAGCUCUCCAGGGAAACAGAAUUCCUGGAAUUCUGUGGUAAAUCCUCGUCCUGCUGAGCACCCUCAGCUCUCACUGAGUUCAGAAUUCCAGGGGUUUCCAUGUCCUGAAAUGCAGUCCCAGAGCCUGGGAAACCAGGUGAGCUCUCCAGGGAAACAGAAUUCCUGGAAUUCUGUGGUAAAUCCUCCUCCUGCUGAGCACCCUCAGCUCUCACGGAGUUCAGAAUUCCAGGGGUUUCCAUGUCCUGAAAUGCAGUCCCAGAGCCUGGAAACCAGGUGAGCUUUGCAGGGAAACAGAAUUCCAGGAAUUCCCUGGAAUUGGGAAAUCUGUGAGAUCCCAGAGGCAGCAGUGGAGUCAGGAUCAGAGCUGGGGUUCAAACGGGCUUUAAACCCCUCUGCAAUUCCCAGGGUGGUUCCCAAGGGUUGGAAUUCUGCACCUGCCUCUUCCCAACAGGAAACCCCAGCAGAUCUCCCUGAAGACACAAAAAUUCCAUUUUUUUGUCCCCCCCAGCUCUGCUGGGAGCCUUUGGGAAGAGCUCCAGAAUUCCUGGUCCCUCUGGGGUUGGGAACUGGGGCACUGCUGCCUCCUCUGGCACCCCAAAUCUGCUUUUUUUGGCCUUUUUUUCACCCACCUCCUCCUGCAAUCCUGCCAGCAGCGUUGGAUUUUUUUGGGCAGCUGGAAUUUUUAGGGCAAGGAGUUUUUUUUUUUUAUUAUUUUGUGUGAGGGUUUGAGCACAAGAAUUGAACAUUUUUCAUUGUUUGUUUGCUUUCAAUGCUGGACUGGGUUGAUCCUCAGCUCCCACUGUGUGGGAGACGUGGAAUAUUUAUUUGCAAUUUCUUUUUUCUGAGCUCUGGGCUGGUUUUUUUUCCCCUUUAAGUUCCAGCUCAAGGAAGGAUUUAUUAAUAUAAAUUUAAUUUUUUGCAGCUUUUGAAAGAAAUGUUUUAAAAGUUCAGGGAGGAUUUAAAUGGGAAUUUAAGAGAUGGCCCAGCAAGCAGGGGGUUCAUUCACAGCAUAAAAUUUAAGCAGGAAUUCAGAUUUAAGCAGGAAUUCCUGAAUAUUUUAAACACAUAAAAUGGUGAAAUAUCCUAUAUCCAUCUACACAUGCGUCCAAAAGUGAUAAGAAAAGGAGAAAUUACAGAAAUUUUGAUUUAAAUCCAGAGGAAUCUGGUCCAGAAGCAAAUCCAGCAAUUCUUGUUCUGUCCUGCCUUUGGGAUGUGUUUUUAUUCCAAUUGCCAACAGGAUUGAGGGAAAAUUAAAAAUUCCCCUCAGUUCAGGGUUCAGUGUGUCCAGGGGGAGCUUUGUCCUGGAAUAAAACUGGUUUAAAAUCGGGCUGAAAUGAAACUCAAGGCUGGCUCCUGCCAGUUUUUCCUCCUGGGGGUGGAAUAAAUGUGUUUUUCCAGGUAAUUUCUGCUUUUUCACCCAUCACAGUCAGCACCUUCAGGGGAUUUCUGAGCUCUGUGUGGUUCCCUCCUGAAUUCUGGUGUGGCCUUGGCCUCUCCCAGGGGCUCCUUUGUGUAAAUCCAAGGAUUUGGGGGUCAUUCCGUGGAAUUUCUUGGCUCUCCAGGAAUUUUUUGCCCUCCCAAGGGGGGGAAUCCCAGCAGAAUUCCAGGUGAGAAUUCCCAACCCUGCGGAGAUCCCAGCCCCGCGCAGGCGGAGAGGAAACAUUCCCAACCAGCAGAAUUAAUUAAUUUGUUCGUUAAUCAGCACCCAGCCCUUCUGACUGAUGGGGAAAGGGUGGGAAUUGCUGGGCUGGGAAGUGGAGACAUCCCAAAAAACCCCAAAAACCUCCAGGACAAGGCACAAUUCCGAGCUGAAGACGAUUUGCUUUCCUCACCCUCCGGUACUUCCAGCCGGGAAUUUCCACGCUGGAAUUUUUGCUGAAGUUUUUGGGAAGAUCUGCCUGAAAUGCCAUGGUGGGGAGAUUGCCUGGACAUUCCACAGGAGUUUUGGGAAGGAAUUCUCAGCCUCCAGUGCCACUUUGGACCUUGGAUGAACCAAGAGAUCACAGCAGGAGGAGCCGAUCCCGGAGCGUCCGGCGGGAUGGGAGCUGCUUCCCACGGAGAUCCAGAGGGAUGGGAGAGCCUGGAGUGGCCACACCUGGAUUUGGGGGAGGGGGGCAGGAAGGGCUGGGUGGAAUUUGGGAAUUGAUGGUGUCGGCCUCCUCCAGCUCUGCUGGGUUCUUCCCUCUCCAGGAGUUUGGAUUUUCCCACUCCGAGGGUUUGGAUUCUUUACCUCACCAAGGGUUUGGAUCCUUCUCCCUGAGAAUGUUUGGAUUCUUUCUGCUCCAAGGGUUUGGAUUCUUCCCUCUCCAAGAGUUUGGAUUUUUCUGCUCCAAGGGUUUGGAUUUUUUUUUUCCUGCACCACGGGUUUGGAUCUUCCCUCUCCAAGGGUUUGGAUUCUUCCCUCUCCAAGGGUUUGGAUUCUUUGCCCUCCAAGAGUUUGGAUUUUUCUCAUUCCAAGGGUCUGGAUUCUUCCUGCUCCAAGGGUUUGGAUCCUUCUCGCUGAAAAUGUUUGGAUUUUCCCACUCCAACAGUUUGGAUUUUUCCAUUCCAAGGGUUUGGAUCCUUCCCUCUUCAGGGGUUUGGAUUUUCUCAUUCCAUGGGUUUGGAUUUUCCCAGUCCAAGAGUUUGGAUCCUUCCCUCUCCAAGGGUUUGAAUCUUCCCUCUCCAAGGGUUUGGAUUUUUCCAUUCCAAGGGUUUGGAUUUUUCCAUUCCAAGGGUUUGGAUUUUUUCAUUCCAAGGGUUUGGAUCCUUCCCACUCCAAGGGUUUGGGUCCUUCUCACUGAAAGGGUUUGGAUUUUCCCUCUCCAGGGUUUGGAUUUUCCCUCUCCAGGGUUGGGCUCUCCCAGCCCAGCAGCCCCAGGGCCUGUGGAGCUGCCCCUGUGCCCCUCCUGGGAUUUUGGGAUCAGGAUUUUGGGAUUUUGGGGUCAGGAGGCACCAGAACACCAGCACUGCCUCCCCUCCCCUCAGUGUAAUCCCAAAAUCCACAUCCUCUCUGGUGGACAUCCCAAAAUUCACAUUUUUACUCUCUCCAUUCUUCUCAGGUGUAAUCCCAAAAAUCACAUCCUCACUGCCUCCUCUCAGGUGUAAUCCCAAAAUCCACAUUUUCACUGCCCCCCUGAAGCUGUAAUCCCAAAAUUCCCAUUUUUCACUGCGUCUCCUCAGCUGUAAUCCCAAAAUUCCCAUUUUUCACUGCCCCCCCUCAGCUGUAAUCCCAAAAUUCACAGGUGUAAAUCCCAAAAUUCACAUUUUUACUCCCUCCAUUCCCCUGAUCUGCAAUCCCAAAAUUCCCAUUUUCCACUGCCCCCCUGAUCUGCAAUCCCAAAAUUCCCAUUUUCCACUGCCUCCCCGAGCUGCAAUCCCAAAAUUCCCGUUUUUCACUGCCCCCCUCAGGUGUAAUCCCAAAAUUCCCCAUUUUUCACUGCCCCCCUCAGGUGUAAUCCCAAAAUUCCCAUUUUCCACUGCUUCCUCUGAUCUGCAAUCCCAAAAUUCCCAUUUUCCACUGCCCCCCUGAUCUGCAAUCCCAAAAUUCCCAUUUUCCACUGCC